UUUAUGGAGAGUUUGAUCCUGGCUCAGGAUGAACGCUGGCGGCGUGCCUAAUACAUGCAAGUCGAGCGAACGGACGAGAAGCUUGCUUCUCUGAUGUUAGCGGCGGACGGGUGAGUAACACGUGGAUAACCUACCUAUAAGACUGGGAUAACUUCGGGAAACCGGAGCUAAUACCGGAUAAUAUUUUGAACCGCAUGGUUCAAAAGUGAAAGACGGUCUUGCUGUCACUUAUAGAUGGAUCCGCGCUGCAUUAGCUAGUUGGUAAGGUAACGGCUUACCAAGGCAACGAUGCAUAGCCGACCUGAGAGGGUGAUCGGCCACACUGGAACUGAGACACGGUCCAGACUCCUACGGGAGGCAGCAGUAGGGAAUCUUCCGCAAUGGGCGAAAGCCUGACGGAGCAACGCCGCGUGAGUGAUGAAGGUCUUCGGAUCGUAAAACUCUGUUAUUAGGGAAGAACAUAUGUGUAAGUAACUGUGCACAUCUUGACGGUACCUAAUCAGAAAGCCACGGCUAA
rnacentral:rRNA from 1 species